rnacentral:tRNA from 1 species
AGAUCGCUUGUCGCGGAUCGCCGACGACCCACAGGCUGUCGGCCUGCGCGGCGAUGGCCUUCACCAGUUCCGCGCUGGCGCGAUUGAC